rnacentral:SRP_RNA from 1 species
UGCAGCCGGGGAGUUAGCGGUGCCCUGUACCUGCAAUCCGCUCUAGCAGGGGUGUUGUCUCAUAGAGGGUCAGUUCCUUUGGAGCUGCCCGCAGAAAGUGGCGUUGAAGUUCGGGUCCCAUGCAACAGGGACUCGUGAACCGUGUCAGGUCGGGAACGAAGCAGCACUAAGCGAUGCUUCUUGUGUGCCGUGGGGCUACCUGAGCCGAGCUUACUGCUGCGGUAACGUCUGAUGGGAUUGAUUCGAAGUGAGGCGCACGG